GAUGAAGAACGUAGCAAAAUGCGAUAAGUAAUGUGAAUUGCAGAAUUCAGUGAAUCAUCGAAUCUUUGAACGCACAUUGCGCCCGCUGGUAUUCCGGCGGGCAUGCCUGUUCGAGCGUCAUUUCAACCCUCAAGCCCCCGGGUUUGGUGUUGGGGAUCGGCUCUGCCCUUCUGGGCAGUGCCGCCCCCGAAAUACAUUGGCGGUCUCGCUGCAGCCUCCAUUGCGUAGUAGCUAACACCUCGCAACUGGAACGCGGCGCGGCCAUGCCGUAAAACCCCAACUUCUGAAUGUUGACCUCGGAUCAGGUAGGAAUACCCGCUGAACUUAAGCAUAUCAAUAAGCGGAGGA
rnacentral:misc_RNA from 1 species